rnacentral:rRNA from 1 species
GACGAACCGUGCGAACGUUAUUCGGAAUCACUGGGCUUAAAGCGCGUGUAGGCGGGACGGCACGUCGGUCGCUGAAAUCCCCCGGCUUAACCGGGGAACUGGCGUCGAUACGACCGUCCUGGAGGGGCGUAGGGGGACCUGGAACUUCCGGUGGAGCGGUGAAAUGCGUUGAGAUCGGAAGGAACGCCCGUGGCGAAAGCGAGGUCCUGGACGCCUACUGACGCUGAGACGCGAAAGCCAGGGGAGCAAACGGG